rnacentral:rRNA from 1 species
UACGAAGGGGGCUAGCGUUGUUCGGAUUUACUGGGUGUAAAGCGCACGUAGGCGGAUCGUUAAGUCAGGGGUGAAAUCCUGGGGCUCAACCCCAGAACUGCCUUUGAUACUGGCGAUCUCGAGUCCGGAAGAGGUGAGUGGAACUCCUAGUGUAGAGGUGGAAUUCGUAGAUAUUAGGAAGAACACCAGUGGCGAAGGCGGCUCACUGGUCCGGUACUGACGCUGAGGUGCGAAAGCGUGGGGAGCAAACAGG